rnacentral:lncRNA from 1 species
CUCUUUCUUUUUCCUUUUUAAAAAUGCAGUCUUGCUAUGUAGUGCCUGUUAGCCUGCUACUUACUAUGCAGCCCAUAACUCUUGGCGAUCCUCCUGCAUCAGCAAGUUUCACAGUCUUAGGUCACCAUGCCCAGCUUCAACUAUUAGGGUUUGACUGGUACUUCUCUGAAGUUCCUGGGUUGCAUUUUGUAAGAUCUGCUCUGAGGAGAAAGACGCUGAAGCCUGCCAUCUGCCGCACAGACUUUGUUUUCUCCGGUUAAACGGUAACGAUGCUGCUAUGUGUGGGGCACCGUGUGCCAGCAGCUGAGUGGCUGGCUAGUAUUCUAACCCCAACGAAGACUCUGGGAAGCAGCUGUAUUGGUGAAGAAACCGUUUCGGAGCUGUGGCUCAAGGCUGCAGAGAGCAGCUGAGCAAGGGCAGUUUAAGGUCUUGCUGACUCCUGUGUGGCUCAGAGGGUGACCUGUCAUUCUUAUAAAUAAUCUGGAGGAGAACAAGGCCAACUGUCUCCGUGCGACACUUGAUCCCACAUUUAUCCUUUCAGGCUGCCAAACUGAAAGACCUUAUGGUGAUUAAAUAUUUCUGGCCAGCAAUGCCCUGCCACUUUAUUGAAAAACGAUAGCCUGAUAUCUUCUAUAAUUUUUUUUUUUCUGUUGAGACAAGGUCUCAUGCAGUCCAGGCCAGUCUUGAAUUCACUGUGUAGCCAAGGUCAACCUUCAGUUUCUGAUCCCCCUGCCUCCUUCUUCUAAGCACCAAAGCUAAAGGUGCGCCCAGAUUGUCAUGCCAUGGCUUUGUGCGUGCUAGGUGAGUGUUCUAACUGAACCACAUCUGUAGCUCUGAAACUGUUUCCAUAAAAACAAAUGUUCUGUAUCAGCGUUAGCUAUGGUGGACAAGCUGCCCCAAGGCGCCAUAGUUCAUUGGUAAUGCAUUGCAGAGGGGCUGGAGAAAUGGCUCAGCGGUAAAGAACACUGACUGCUCUUCGGAAGGUCCUGAGUUCAAAUCUCAGCAACCACAUAGUGGCUCAUAACCAUCUGUAAUGAGAUCUGACGCCCUCCUCUGGUGUGUCGGAAGACAGCUACAGUGUACUUACAUAUAAUAAUAAAUAAAUCUUUAAAAAAAGAACACAGUAAAAAACAAAACACACACACAUAUAAUAAUAAAUAAAUCUUUAAAAAAUAACACAGUAAAAAACAAAACACACACACACACAAUGCAUUGCAGAGGGUCCAUAAUAAAUAAAUCUUUAA